rnacentral:rRNA from 1 species
UACGUAGGGGGCUAGCGUUGUCCGGAUUUAUUGGGCGUAAAGAGCGUGUAGGCGGCCAGGUAGGUCUGGUGUGAAAACUCGAGGCUUAACCUCGAGAUGUCAUCGGAAACCAUUUGGCUAGAGUCCGGAAGAGGAGAGUGGAAUUCCUGGUGUAGCGGUGAAAUGCGCAGAUAUCAGGAAGAACACCAAUGGCGAAAGCAGCUCUCUGGGACGGUACUGACGCUGAGACGCGAAAGCGUGGGGAGCGAACAGG